rnacentral:rRNA from 1 species
GACGAACGCUGGCGGCGUGCCUAAUACAUGCAAGUCGAGCGGGCCUCCGGAGGUGCUUGCACCUCCGGAAGGCCAGCGGCGGACGGGUGAGUAACACGUGGGCAACCUGCCUUUGAGGCCGGGAUAACACCGGGAAACCGGUGCUAAUACCGGAUACGUCCUCUUUCGCGCCUGCGAGAGGGGAGAAAGACGGUCUUUAAGGCCGUCGCUCAAAGAGGGGCCCGCGGCGCAGUAGCUGGUUGGUGGGGUAAGGGCCUACCAAGGCCACGAUGCGUUGCCGGACUGAGAGGGUGAUCGGCCACACGGGGACUGAGACACGGCCCAGACUCCUGCGGGAGGCAGCAGUAGGGAAUCAUCCGCAAUGGGCGAAAGCCUGACGGUGCAACGCCGCGUGAGUGAGGAAGGUUUUCGGAUCGUAAAGCUCUGUUGUGAGGGAAGAACAGCUUCCGGAGGAAAUGCCGGAGGUUUGCCGGUACCUCACCAGAAAGCCCCGGCUAACUACGUGCCAGCCGCCGCGGUAAGAC